CAGAUGAUGCUCAAUGUGUAGUCUGAGAUUUAAUGACUGCUGCCUGGCCCUGAUGUCGCUGGUGGUUGGGCUGGAUU
rnacentral:snoRNA from 1 species